AGAACGAACGCUGGCGGCAGGCCUAACACAUGCAAGUCGAACGAGAAGCCACCUUCGGGUGGUGGAAAGUGGCAGACGGGUGAGUAACGCGUGGGAACGUACCCUUUGGUUCGGAACAACUCCGGGAAACUGGAGCUAAAACCGGAUAAGCCCUACGGGGGAAAGAUUUAUCGCCGAAGGAUCGGCCCGCGUCGGAUUAGCUAGUUGGUGAGGUAACGGCUCACCAAGGCUACGAUCCGUAGCUGGUCUGAGAGGAUGAUCAGCCACACUGGGACUGAGACACGGCCCAGACUCCUACGGGAGCAGCAGUGGGGAAUAUUGGACAAUGGGCGCAAGCCUGAUCCAGCCAUGCCGCGUGAGUGAUGAAGGCCUUAGGGUUGUAAAGCUCUUCGCCAGGGACGAUAAUGACGGUACCUGGAUAAGAAGCCCCGGCUAACUUCGCGCCAGCAGCCGAC
rnacentral:rRNA from 1 species